GAUUGAUGAUGGACACGGUUAAAAAAAAGAAAGCAAAAGCCUCACUGUUAUUUCUCCUGGUCCUGAUUAUGUGCUCACAAUCAGUUGGUGCGCCCAUCACGUUUGAAAACCGAUUUUUAGACAACUGGACACUCGAGAUAGGCGCGAAUGCAGAAGAAAAUAUUACCAAGUUUUGCCGGCAGAACGCAACCCAAAAUGAAAUAAAUUGUAAAAAUGUGACUGAAUUGGUGUCAAAGUGCGGCUGCACCAUUUCUUACACCGGAACUUUAAAUUACACCGCCAACUGUCACAGUCCGCUCGCCGACUGCCCUCAGGAUCUGAUUGUGAGUGUCACCUUCCAGCAAGGCGCUGUCACCGCGAAGCUCAGUGAAACUGCUGCAAGCAACACCGCGACAAUAAUUACUUGGUUCUUGUGUCUAUCUCUGGCACUCUUCCUAAUUUCGUUAAUCGUGUUUCUGAUCAAACGUGUAAUUGGAUUGGCAAUAUGGUCUUAUGGACUAGAAUAAUAAGCAUAGAAUUGCAUGGCCAUUAACGUCAAUCGAG